GAUGAACGCUGGCGGCGUGCCUAAUACAUGCAAGUCGAGCGAACAGAUGAGGAGCUUGCUCCUCUGACGUUAGCGGCGGACGGGUGAGUAACACGUGGAUAACCUACCUAUAAGACUGGGAUAACUUCGGGAAACCGGAGCUAAUACCGGAUAAUAUAUUGAACCGCAUGGUUCAAUAGUGAAAGACGGUUUUGCUGUCACUUAUAGAUGGAUCCGCGCCGCAUUAGCUAGUUGGUAAGGUAACGGCUUACCAAGGCAACGAUGCGUAGCCGACCUGAGAGGGUGAUCGGCCACACUGGAACUGAGACACGGUCCAGACUCCUACGGGAGGCAGCAGUAGGGAAUCUUCCGCAAUGAGCGAAAGCCUGACGGAGCAACGCCGCGUGAGUGAUGAAGGUCUUCGGAUCGUAACACUCUGUUAUUAGGGAAGAACAAAUGUGUAAGUAACUAUGCACGUCUUGACGGUACCUAAUCAGAAAGCCACGGCUAACUACGUG
rnacentral:rRNA from 1 species